AACGGACGCUGGCGGCAUGCCUAACACAUGCCAGUCGAACGAGACCUUCGGGUCUAGUGGCGCACGGGUGCGUAACGCGUGGGAACCUGCCCUUAGGUUCGGAAUAACUCCCCGAAAGGGGUGCUAAUACCGGAUAAUGUCUUCGGACCAAAGAUUUAUCGCCUUUGGAUGGGCCCGCGUUGGAUUAGCUAGUUGGUAGGGUAAAAGCCUACCAAGGCGACGAUCCAUAGCUGGUCUGAGAGGAUGAUCAGCCACACUGGGACUGAGACACGGCCCAGACUCCUACGGGAGGCAGCAGUGGGGAAUAUUGGACAAUGGGCGAAAGCCUGAUCCAGCAAUGCCGCGUGAGUGAUGAAGGCCUUAGGGUUGUAAAGCUCUUUUACCCGGGAUGAUAAUGACAGUACCGGGAGAAUAAGCUCCGGCUAACUCCGUG
rnacentral:rRNA from 1 species